UUCAGGUUGAUAAAUGGAUAUCGGGAAGUUUUUCUCUGCGAAAUGAUAUGAUGACAAUGACGAUUGAUGGGAGAACAGAGAAAAAGUUGUUUUUUGGCGAUAUUGACAGAAGUAGAUGCGGUCUUAAACUUGGAUGGGGUAAACAAUACGAAAGCUUUGUAGGCUGUAUAGACAAGAUGUCUGUCUCAUUUUGUCAAGACAUCACUACAUGAGGUGAUGUUAGACAGAGUCAAAAGAAAUCCUAUUGUUACAACGAGAUUCGCUGGUAUGUGUCAUCGUUUGCAGUAAACAGAAGUCAUUCAUGAACAUGCCAGCUCGCUUGAUGAGCUUUGAAGAUUUAUGACUUCAUUGGAGUGCAUUUGUGUAAUCUGAAUUAACUCGGACGAACUCGACACAUCAACUUAAUUCUUAUAAACUGUCAGCAUGCUUAUAAACAUUUACACCAUUUAAUAUAUCAUGAUAAUAACAUGAUCGUAUUUUGUCAGGGGAGCAAAGAUUAAAAACCGUACACUCAAGGCAUUAGAUAACCGGACCAAUGAUUUUUUAUAUUUGUCGUGUUGGAGGAAAUGAUGACGCCUAUAGAUUUUCCUUGUAAUAUUUUAAGACCUUGAAAUUUUUGUUUUUGUUCGUUUGGGGUUUACGUCACACCGACACAGUAUAGGUCAUUUGGCGACGUUCCAGCUUUACUGGUGGAGGAAGACCUCAGGUACCCUUCCGUGCAUUAUUUCAGGCAGAACGGGCACCUGAGUAGAACCACCGACGUUCCGUAAGCUAGCUGGAUAGCUUCCUCACAUGAAAGAAUCCAAAGUCCUUGUCGGGAUUCGAACACACAGCGGUGAGGGACAAGUGGUUUGAAGUCAACGACCUUAACCACUCGGCCACGGACGCCCCUAAGACCUUGAAAUAUUUGAGAUGUCACGUGAUUUUUGGUGACAUCUUACUUGCUGUGAUAAACUGUAAUUUAUAGGAAUUUAAUAAUCAUAACAUUGGCUUUUUUAAUGUGAACCAUGAUUUGGACUAUAGACAGUCUUACAUGUGAUGACAAAUUGUAGUUACUGCACUGUUAGUGUAUUUGUCAACAGCACAAACUCUGAUGCAACUUUCAUCAGCUUUGUUUGUUUGAAUACGAUAUAUUAGUAGCAAAUUAAUGUAGAAACUCAAUGUCAAAUGGAGUUACAUUUUGUUUUCUUUGUCAGAACAAGUAUUGAAAUAUUUCAAUCUUCACUGUGUGUUAAUUAACAAAAAUAUCAAAGGACAAUAUCAAGAGAAAUUUCAAGAAUUGCCAUCUUCGCCUGAUACAAAUAUUUAAAUCAGGAAUGUAUACUCAGCAAUGCAAUUCGAGAUUAUGCUCGUAGACUUGUGAGACAAACGUCAAAUUGCACUAUUCCUUUUUCUCUAUGACUUCUGAAAAUGUUGAAAAUGUAAUAUAUUUUACGUUAUCAUGUGCGUCACAGAUAAGUGAUGCGACAAAUAGACAGUUACACACAUGUGAAAUGUGCAAAGGAAUAUUAUUUUAGCUCAAAGCACAGGUGUCAGUCAAGUAUGGGUUAUGCCGAGAAUCGGAUGCAUAUUAAUUAAAAAGCCGAUGUUGUUGUCUAUUUCUUGCUUUUGUGAACGUACGAUAUUUACGGUUGGAAUCGCAAAUGGAAAAGUGUUAUUUUUUGUUGUACAUAUAUAAAUAACAAACACAAUAUAAGAUGGUAAUUUAUAGUAUUUAUUUAAUAAAAGUAUAGUUACAUGAUGGAUAUUUGUUCAAUAAAAGAAUGAUUACAUUGAUGGCACUUUAAAAUCUGCCUUUUUGUCAUUUUUUACAAAUAUUACAACUGUCACAAUAUUUCUAACACAAAAUAAAAAUUGAAAAACGAAGAAAGGAUAGAAAUAAAACAAUGGAAAUUCAUUCAAGACUAUUGCAACAACACAUUAUGCAGAUCAAGGACAGUUGGUACAAUACAACAUAAAAUUCAAUGCUCUGUAUCUAAAAAAAUGUUUCUAUUCUCAUUGCUUUAUUCGGUUGGCUACAAGUUAUUUGUAAUGCUAUCAGUUAUACAGAUGGCUGCAGGUACAAGUUAUACAAAUGGGUAAAAUAUAUUUUUAGCUACAAUUUAUCAGUUUGGCUUGGCGUUAUUAUAUUUAUUAUACAUUGUAUAUACGAGUAUACUGUAUGCUUUAACAAGCUAUAGUUAUGCCAAAAGAAAAAAAAGAUUUUGUAGAAAUUGACAGGUUCUUUGUCCAGGACUGAUUGUUUUUUACUGAUUGUUUUUGUUCAAUAAAGCUUAAAAACUGAUGCCUCUUUAAAUUAAGAUAUAUUUAUCUUUUUAAUGAGAACAGAGUAACAUUUUGGAAAGAAAGAAAAAGAGAAAGGAAAAAAUACUUAACAACAAUCCAUUUUUUACAAUAAUUUUGAUAGUUUGCCUUGCUUUAAUACAUUUUUAAGAAUUCCCUCCUUGAAAAGAAAGACGUUCAGUUUUUGCGAAAAUAAAAA